ensembl:misc_RNA Metazoa_SRP Metazoan signal recognition particle RNA
GCCAGGCAUGGUGGUGGCUGCCUGUAAUCCCAGCUACUCGGGAGGCUGAGGCAGGAGAAUCGCUUGAACCCAGGAGGCAGAGGUUGCAGUGAGCUGAGAUCGUGCCACUGCACUCCAGCCUGGGUGACAGAGCGAGACUCUGUCUCAA